CGUGAGUGAUGAAGGCUUUCGGGUCGUAAAGCUCUGUCAAGUGGGAAGAACCCACAUGGUGCUAAUAUCACCAUGUGUUGACGGUACCACUGAAGGAAGCACCGGCUAACUCCGUGCCAGCAGCCGCGGUAAUACGGGGGGUGCAAGCGUUAUUCGGAAUUACUGGGCGUAAAGAGCGCGUAGGCGGUCCUAUAAGUCAGCUGUGAAAGCCCGGGGCUUAACCCCGGAAGUGCACUUGAAACUAUAGGACUUGAGUAUGGGAGAGGGAAGUGGAAUUCCUGGUGUAGCGGUGAAAUGCGUAGAUAUCAGGAGGAACAUCGGUGGCGAAGGCGACUUCCUGGACCAAUACUGACGCUGAGGCGCGAAGGCGUGGGGAGCAAACAGGAUUAGAUACCCUGGUAGUCCACGCAGUAAACGGUGAUCACUAGGUGUAGCGGGUAUUGACCCCUGCUGUGCCGCAGCAAACGCAUUAA
rnacentral:rRNA from 1 species